rnacentral:rRNA from 1 species
UUCGGGGUACUCGAGUGGCGAACGGGUGAGUAACACGUGGGUGAUCUGCCCUGCACUUUGGGAUAAGCCUGGGAAACUGGGUCUAAUACCGAAUAUGACCACGCGCUUCAUGGUGUGUGGUGGAAAGCUUUUGCGGUGUGGGAUGGGCCCGCGGCCUAUCAGCUUGUUGGUGGGGUAAUGGCCUACCAAGGCGACGACGGGUAGCCGGCCUGAGAGGGUGACCGGCCACACUGGGACUGAGAUACGGCCCAGACUCCUACGGGAGGCAGCAGUGGGGAAUAUUGCACAAUGGGCGCAAGCCUGAUGCAGCGACGCCGCGUGAGGGAUGACGGCCUUCGGGUUGUAAACCUCUUUCAAUAGGGACGAAGCGCAAGUGACGGUACCUAUAGAAGAAGGACCGGCCAACUACGUGCCAGCAGCCGCGGUAAUACGUAGGGUCCGAGCGUUGUCCGGAAUUACUGGGCGUAAAGAGCUCGUAGGUGGUUUGUCGCGUUGUUCGUGAAAACUCACAGCUUAACUGUGGGCGUGCGGGCGAUACGGGCAGACUAGAGUACUGCAGGGGAGACUGGAAUUCCUGGUGUAGCGGUGGAAUGCGCAGAUAUCAGGAGGAACACCGGUGGCGAAGGCGGGUCUCUGGGCAGUAACUGACGCUGAGGAGCGAAAGCGUGGGGAGCGAACAGGAUUAGAUACCCUGGUAGUCCACGCCGUAAACGGUGGGUACUAGGUGUGGGUUUCCUUCCUUGGGAUCCGUGCCGUAGCUAACGCAUUAAGUACCCCGCCUGGGGAGUACGGCCGCAAGGCUAAAACUCAAAGGAAUUGACGGGGGCCCGCACAAGCGGCGGAGCAUGUGGAUUAAUUCGAUGCAACGCGAAGAACCUUACCUGGGUUUGACAUGCACAGGACGACUGC